rnacentral:rRNA from 1 species
CCUACGGGGGGCAGCAGUGGGGAAUAUUGCACAAUGGGGGAAACCCUGAUGCAGCGACGCCGCGUGAAGGAAGAAGGUCUUCGGAUCGUAAACUUCUAUCAGCAGGGAAGAAGGAAGUGACGGUACCUGACUAAGAAGCCCCGGCUAACUACGUGCCAGCAGCCGCGGUAAUACGUAGGGGGCAAGCGUUAUCCGGAAGCACUGGGUGUAAAGGGUGCGUAGGCGGGAGGGCAAGUCAGAUGUGAAAGCCCGGAGCUAGACUCCGGGAUUGCAUUUGAAACUGUCUUACUAGAGUGCAGGAGAGGAAAGCGGAAUUCCUAGUGUAGCGGUGAAAUGCGUAGAUAUUAGGAAGAACACCAGUGGCGAAGGCGGCUUUCUGGACUGUAACUGACGCUGAGGUACGAAAGCUGGGGGAGCGAACGGGAUUAGAUACCCCAGUAGUC